GACGAACGCUGGCGGCGUGCUUAACACAUGCAAGUCGAACGGAAAGGCCCUGCUUUUGUUGGGUGCUCGAGUGGCGAACGGGUGAGUAACACGUGAGUAACCUGCCCUUGACUUUGGGAUAACUUCAGGAAACUGGGGCUAAUACCGGAUAGGAGCUCCUGCUGCAUGGGGGGGGUUGGAAAGUUUCGGCGGUUGGGGCUGGACUCGCGGCUUAUCAGCUUGUUGGGGGGGUAGUGGCUUACCCAGCCUUUGACGGGUAGCCGGCCUGAGAGGGUGACCAGCCCCAUUGGGCCUGAGAGACGGCCCAGACGCCAACGGGAGGCAGCAGUGGGGAAUAUUGCACAAUGAGCGGGAGCGUGAGGCAGAAACCCCCGGUGUGGGAUGACGGCCUUCGGGGUGUAAACCGCUUUCGCCUGUGACGAAGCGUGAGUGACGGUAAUGGGUAAAGAAGCACCGGCUAACUACGUG
rnacentral:rRNA from 1 species